GUGAGUGUUUCUGAGGGUGCGCAGUAGGGUCGGUCGGCCCUGAGCAGGCAGCCUAGGCCUGGGACUGGAACAGCGCGGAGAUGGGGGCGGCGGCCGCAGAGGCCGACCGCACUCUGUUCGUGGGUAACCUGGAGACGAAGGUGACAGAGGAGCUCCUCUUCGAGCUGUUCCACCAGUAUUUGAGGCAGAGAGCCAUAUAGUAUUUCUUGGUAGCCCUGGAACUCCGAGGCUGACUUAGAGCUGGUCCUCCUGCCUGCAUCUCCUGACAUCUGACCAUACAGGCUGGGCCGGUAAUAAAAGUGAAAAUCCCGAAAGAUAAAGAUGGCAAACUGAAGCAGUUUGCAUUCGUGAACUUCAAACAUGAAGUGUCUGUUCCCUAUGCCAUGAAUCUGCUCAACGGAAUCAAACUUUUCGGGAGGCCUAUCAAAAUUCAGUUUAGAUCAGGAAGCAGUCACGCCUCUCAGGAUGCCAGUGUGUCAUAUCCCCAGCAUCAUGUUGGAAAUUUAAGCCCAACCUCCACAUCUCCUAACAGCUAUGAAAGGACAGUGGGUAACGUGUCUCCGACAGCUCAGAUGGUCCAGAGGUCCUUUUCUUCUCCAGAAGAUUAUCAGCGGCAAGCAGUGGUAGAUGAACAGUGUUUUCAGACAGAUGUCAUAUGCUGGGAAAUUUGGUUCUCCACAUGCGGAUCAGUUGGGAUUUUCACCAUCAGCUCAACCACAUGGCCAUACCUUUAACCAGUCUUCCAGCUCCCAGUGGCGCCAAGAUGCACUGUCAUCACAGCGUAAAAGACAGAAUUCUCACCCCUACCUAGCAGAUAGACACUAUAGCCGUGAGCAGCGCUACUCUGACCAUGGGUCUGACUAUCAUUACAGAGGCAGCCGAGAGGAUUUCUACUAUGACGACAGGAAUCAUGAUGGCUGGAGCCAUGACUAUGAUAACAGAAGGGACAGUAGUAGAGGUGGGAAGUGGCCCUCAUCCAGACACUAACAAGCAUUCCAAGGACACUGUUUACAGGGCCAUUUUAGGUCCUUUUAAUUAAGUUGUUGGAGAAAUAUUUCUAAAAGCUGUACAGAGUAAUCCCACAAUUUUCCACCUGUCUUUGAAAAAAAUUUUUUUUAAACCUAGUAACAGUUUGACAGAACUGAGAACUGUGGCUCCUUGUGUGCUACUUUAAUUACCUAACCUCAGGGGUUCUGAAGAGGAAGGUUCAUACAAGAGUGUGUCACCAUCCCGGCCAUGUCAGACAGUCUCAGAAAGAUGAAACGGAUAGGUUGGUUGUAUUCUAAAGCAAAUAUUUUAAGUAUCUCACCUUUUAUGUUGCAAGAAAUUUCAUGGUAAUGAAUCAAUUUGGUAUAUAUAAUAGGAAACAUCUAAGUUGGAAGUCUGAAAUGGCUGUCUGCAUUUUGUUAAUAAAUGAGAAAAUAGAACUUUUCAGUCAUCUGCUUAUUAAUAGUUUAUUUAAAACAGUUUAUUGGCUUUGUUUGGAGAUAAAUCAUAUUUCCUAACUCAGAAUUUAAGUACAAAUUCUGUGGUAUGCUCUUGAAUUUUACCACAAUUGAACAUACAUUAUAAAUCUUUACUAGUUCAUUCUAAGAACUUUAAAAUUCUUUCAUUAUAUUUGAUGUAUGACUAGUCGCUCAGGAAGUUAAAUAUCUCAAUGUAUAUUUUUACACAAAAUGACAGUGUUGGUGAAAAUUCGUUUUAGAAUGAUGUUCAUACAUAGAGAAAAUGACAGUGUUUGACUGCAAGGAUUGUAAUUUUGAAAUUUUGUUUAACAAAACUUCCAUGUUUCAAGAUCCUGUUGCUCUUUGACUGCAAAACUGUUUCUAAGAAUUCAUUCCAUGAAAAAUGUGGAUCCUCUUUAUACCACAGCAUUUAUACUAUGUUCCUUUUAAUAUAUUAAAUACACAAAAAGAGAA